rnacentral:ncRNA from 1 species
AAUGGUACCAAGGAUCGUGAAGAGAGAACCACAUUUAGACAUAAAGGUAUUAAAGUUUUCCAGGGCGUCAAGGUCUUAUUUCUUCAUGCUUAAGGUGGGUUGUUCUAGUGGAAGUUUUACGCGAAGAGGAUGUUUGCGUCGAAGUACUGACUGGGGUUUCAUAUUGGUUUUAAAAUAUAAGUACUUUUCAAAUCAAUAAUACGAAGGAAAAUUGUUACCAGUAACGUUUUGCGGAAUAAAAGAUUUAAUAUUUUAAGCAAGUCACUGCAAGCAACUAUCUGCUAGGUAACGAGUUUAAACUGAAAAUAGAAUUAGCGAAGAGGCUAUGCAGGAUGAAAAAUUAUAUCAACUGGUAUACCAGUUACUUAGAGGGACAAGCAUUACGAAUGUGCACGAAAUUUAACAAUAUGAGGCCUGUGAUGCCCUUAAAUGUUACUGGCCACACGCAAGCUAAAAUGAGAAUGCCAAAGAGUCUGACCUUCUGGCUCGAAAGAGUUGGCCAAACUGGGCAAUCACCGUCAUGACAGGGAUCGGAGCUUGGAAUUGUUCCCCGUGAACGAGGAAUUCCUAGUAAGUACAAGGCAUAAGCUUGCGCUGAUUACGUGCCUGCCCUUUGUACUCACCGCCCGUCGAUACUAACGAUUGAAUGGUUUAGUUAGGACCUCGGAUUGGUGCCAUUGCAGUGCCAGCCACAAGGUUGGUGCUCGGCAGGUGCCGAGUAGAUGACCAAACUUGAUCAUUUUGAGGAAGUCAAAGUCGUAACAAGGUUUCCAUAGGUGAACCUGCGGAAGGAUCAUUA